UCCAUGUAGUUCUCCAUGUAGGUCUCCAUGUUUAUCUCCAUGUAGUUCUCCAUGUUGGUCUCCAUGUUGGUCUCUGUGUUGGUCUCCAUGUUGUUCUCCAUGUUGAUCUCCAUGUAGUUCUCCAUGUAGGUCUCCAUGUUGGUCUCCAUGUAGGUCUCCAUGUUGAUCUCCAUGUUGUUCUCCAUGUUGUUCUCCAUGUAGGUCUCCAUGUUGGUCUCCAUGUUGUUCUCCAUGUUGGUCUCCGUUUUGGUCUCCGUGUUGGUCUCCAUGUAGGUCUCCAUGUUGUUCUCCAUGUUGGUCUCCAUGUUGGUCUCCGUGUAGUUCUCCGUGUUGGUCUCCGUGUAGUUCUCCGUGUUGGUCUCCAUGUUGGUCUCCGUGUUGUUCUCCAUGUUGAUCUCAAUGUUGUUCUACAUGUUGUUCUCCAUGUUGGUCUCCAUGUUGAUCUCAAUAUUGUUCUCCGUGUUGUUCUCCAUGUUGGUCUUCAUGUUGGUCUUCAUGUUGGUCUCCAUGUAGUUCUCCAUGUAGUUCUCCAUG
ensembl:lncRNA